rnacentral:lncRNA from 11 species
CCAGGGUCUUCCUGUGCCUUAGAGAGAUCUACACAGAGAAGAUGUGUCUGAAACAAGCAAAACACUCUGGAUAUGCAUUCUCGUGGCUCUUUCCGAUUGUUCUUUUCCAGGAGGCAGCAAUGAAGGAGAUGGAUUCCCAUUUUGUGCUCCCGCCCGAAACGAAAGGAAUGAAAGAACGGAUGAAACAGGAAAAACGGGUGCCGAGCUGAAGGGAGAAGUGGGAGGAAGAGAGAGAAACUUUUUAGAAGCAGUUGAAAAAAGCCUCAUGCCUGAUUAACUGGAACUGCAUCUGCCAAACUAGGAUAGUUGGAGAACAUAUUACAGUGCCCAUCAUCCAUAUCUAAUUCAGUUUAUUGGCUACUUGGAAAGAUCAGAAAAUUAUUUCAAAGCUAGAAACAGGUUAGAUGUGUCAAGGAAAAUGCUCUUGGGGUCUGGUCAUCAUUGCACAUGAACUUCAUAGAAGUACCAUUGGAUUUUGGAUCUUUCUCACACCAUAAAUGCAUGACCAACAUCAUGUCUGUUCUAACUAUCAAAGAGAAACAUCUCUUGCCUUAACACAUGGUAUUAUUUGGAUUGUUGUAAUUUUAGUAUAACAAACCAGGAAUACAAUCUUAAUAAUUCAUUAAAAACAAAAUAAAACAUCAUAAAAAGUAUGGAUUUUUAUUAUAAAAAGUGUUUCC